AUACUCUGGUUUCUCUUCAGAUCAUACAAAUCUCUCACCCUUUACUAAAGAUUUCUUUGAAGAGGAACAAUUCUAAGCCUUAACCCAAUUUUUGAGGCCCUGUAUCUACAAGGC
ensembl:snRNA U5 U5 spliceosomal RNA